ensembl:lncRNA
UGGAGAGGACCCAACCAAACCACACAGUGGACUCACAAUAAUUACUGGAUAUUCAAUGUUUCUGAGUCCAGCAGUGGAGACUACAUGUGUAAGAGUCGACGCAGAGAUGACUCAUAUUCUUCAACAGAGUGGAGUGACGCCUUCAACUUGUCAGUAUCAACUGUGCCCAGUCCUGAGAGGUCUUCAUUUCUUAUUUUGAUGAUCAUUGGAAUAAUUUCUGGAGUCAUAUUUAUAUUCUUGCUGCUCUUGUUCUGUUGCUACAGAAAAUCCAGAGGUUCUACUGAUGACCAGAGGGUCAGUCAGGUAGAAGAUCAACAGCAAGUAUACUCCUCUCUUCUUCAUGGUGACCGUUGUGUCUAUGAGUCUAUCAGAUGGUCUAAAAACACAGAAAAUGGUCUGGGUCACGGUAGCAGCAGAGAAGCCCACACCUCCCUCUCCCCACCCACCUCCUCCAGUUUAUCCGCAGGAACGCUGAGGUGCUCGCAGGCCAGCCGAGACACUUAAUCUGUCAAGUGUAUUCUGGGUCUGCCCUGG